GGUAAGGUGGCUGAAUAAGGUGAUAAAUUGUAAAUUUAUUUAUGAAAUGAUAUUUUCUCUUACCA
rnacentral:tRNA from 1 species